CCUACGGGAGGCAGCAGUGAGGAAUAUUGGUCAAUGGGCGGGAGCCUGAACCAGCCAAGUCGCGUGAGGGAAGACGGUCCUAUGGAUUGUAAACCUCUUUAGGCGGGGAGCAAUGCCGGGCACGCGUGCCCGGAGGGAGAGUACCCGCAGAAUAAGCAUCGGCUAACUCCGUGCCAGCAGCCGCGGUAAUACGGGGGAUGCGAGCGUUAUCCGGAUGUAUUGGGUUUAAAGGGUGCGUAGGCGGAUUUUUAAGUCAGCGGUAAAAUGUCCGGGCUCAACCCGGGCCGGCCGUUUAAACUGGGGAUCUUGAGUGGGCGAGAAGUAUGCGGAAUGCGUGGUGUAGCGGUGAAAUGCAUAGAUAUCACGCAGAACUCCGAUUGCGAAGGCAGCAUACCGGCGCCCGACUGACGCUGAGGCACGAAAGCGUGGGGAUCGAACAGGAUUAGAUACCCUAGUAGUC
rnacentral:rRNA from 1 species